AUGGGCGACGCCCCGAACGCCAUGCGCUACUGCCCGGACUGCCGCCGCGCCGUCGCGGUGGCCCUCGACCGCGCCUCCGGCGACACCGUCUGCGCCCUGUGCGCGCGCGUCCUCGGCCAGCGCUACGUCGACCAGUCCUCCGAGUGGCGCACCUUCCUCAACCAGGUCGGGGGCGUCGACGGCCGCAGCGUCGGCGGCGCGGGCGACCAUUCCCCCGCCCAGGCCGGCGUCACCGUCGCCUACCCCGCAGCAGGCGACGCGCAUUCCAAGGCGGCAGGCAACGCCCAGACGCACGCUGGGGAGGGCGCCUCCUUGGCACCACUGCCGAGGAUGCGCGGCGCGGUCGGCGCCGGCACUUCGCGGGGCGGCGGCGCGCCGAGGAUGCGCGGCGCGGUGGGGCCGGUGCCCGACAGGGCGCUCGCCGAGUCCUUCCACGGCAUCGACGACAUGGCGGCGCGGCUGGAGCUGGCGGCGGCCGUCAAGAACCGCGCCAGGGACGUGCUCAGGAAGCUGGAGAACACGAGGGCGUUCCCCAAGGGCGGCAAGUCCCGGAACCGGCAGGCGCUCUACGCGGCCUGCCUCCACAUGGCGUGCCGCGCCGAGGGCACGCCGCGGACGUUCAAGGAGCUGGCGUCCGUGACGGGCGACAGCGCCACGGCGGGGGUCAAGGACAUCGGGAGGCUCGUCAAGGUCAUGAAGGGCCACCUCAGGGACGAGGACGGCGGGCAGGCGGGAGGGCAGAUGAUGAUGAUCGGCGCCGUCGCGCGGCCGGGCGACUACAUGCGCCGCUUCGGCUCGCUGCUUGGGAUGGAGGACAAGGAGGUGGGCGCCGCGCUGGAGGCGGCGACGAGGCUGGAGAAGAACCUGGACGUGAGGCACAACCCCGACUCCAUCGCCGCCGCCGUCAUGUACAUGGCCAUCGAGCGCGCCGGCAUCGGGAGAUCCGUCCGCGACGUGUCCACGGCCACCGGCGUCAGCGAGGGGACCAUCAGGGAGAUUUACUACAAGGACCUCUACCAGCACGCCAACAUGCUGUUCGGCCAGUAA
rnacentral:rRNA from 1 species